ensembl:snoRNA
GCCCUUUUGUAGUUCAUAAGCAUUAUGAUUGGGUUUUUGCAUGUAUGUGAAACCUUGUUAAGAUGUUGGCACUUUACCCAUAAGACA